AGCCUCUUUUUCAGAGGUUCAGUCCUCUCCUUAGCU
rnacentral:tRNA from 1 species